ensembl:snoRNA
GGCAGCUUUGUCAAAUUCAGUGCUUCCUCCUUCAUGGAUGUCACUGGCCAAAAUGGCUGCUACAGUGAAGAUGUAGCUUAUGGGCCCCACUGUGCCUCAACGCAGCAGCUGGGGAUAAUUUGUGCUACAAACAGUU